AUGGGGAGGGUGCAGAUACGCGUGGUGAUGGUAAGCGUGGCGGUGGCUGCGCUGGUACUCGUCGCCGCCAUCCUGGGGUCGUUGACGGCGGCGAUGACGGCGGUGUUUUUGUACGCUGCGUCGCGGAACGUGGGAGGGUCGAACCUGCCCAGGCGGGGCCGCUACCACUCCAUGCGCGGCUGUAGAGUCUUCGAUCGCGGGGUCUUCUCGUCGGCGUCCGCCACGUCCGCCUUCGCGGCCUUCGUCGGGAUCACCGCCUACGUUUACCAGGAGACGGCGGAUACGGAUGAGUCGGAGGUAGCCAGCCCUGACGUCCCGUUGGAGCAGCGACCGCAUUUCCUGCCGCAGCAGUCAUACCCGGCCGUGGGAUACCCUGCUGCUCCUCCUCCCCCUCCACCGUACGGCGGCUACGGAGCCAAGGCACCUGCAGGCACAGCUUGA
rnacentral:rRNA from 1 species